ensembl:lncRNA
GUUCCGUGGCUAAAAUUAUCUGUUUUGACUGGCAGAUCAAUGUUGAAAUUGUGGAGAAAGGCCACGGAUUGACACUUUUUUCAUAAAUUUUCCUUUUUAUUCAUUCAGUGAUUCCUCCUCCAACAGCACCUACAACAGCUGCGACUCCAAGAACACCUGCAGAGAUUGUACCUGCACUAACCCCUGCACCCGCUGCUGCUCCGGUACCUCCAGCCACUGCUCCUGCUUCCACUGCACCUCGUGCGACAACUGUUGCUGCACCUCCUACGACUGCAGCUGCUAUUUUUCGGCUUUAACUAAAGUGUAUAUUCCAACACAAUAUUCCUGAUGAAUCCAUGGAUGUCUGGUCACUAGAACAGACCUCAGUAACACUUUACUUUUACUUUACUUUUACUUUUAUUUCUAUUUGUUCCUCCAAAAGAAUCAAGACAGAUAGUGGAAAGGUCACUGGAUGGUCACAUCAAGAUCUAGCUGUUUAUGUAUAUAUAAAUGAAUAAACAUAUGCACACGUAUACGCACACACACACACACACACCUGCUACUGCUGAACUUUCAGGUUCAGCUGCUGAGAUGUACAAUUAUGUGGUAACUACUGUUUUUAGUUUCACUUUUAUUGUGUCACAUGUUUUACAGUAAUCAGAUUGUCAGUGCAUUUAAAUUAAAAAGAGUGAGAGUACAACAUUGACUGUUUCGCUUUAAUAUUUACAAACAAUACAAAUGUUACAGUAGCUUAUAAACACUGAUGUUCCUUGGAUCAAGAGCUGUCAGAACUAAAAAUAUAAAUUAAGAUACCCCCCCCCCCAAAAAAAAUAAUAAUAAAAUAAAUAAAUAAAUAAAUAAAAAUCAAAUCAAAUUGAAGGACCAUAAAGUUACUCAGUGUACCUUCAAUGUGAUUGUACUGUACAUUCAAGCAAUUAAUGGAGUUCUCUGAGAAGGAUGUGAAAAAAAAAAAAAAGCUAUUUAAAAAUCACUGCUGUUGAAUUUUUUUGAAGUUAUUAUUUUUGACUGUCCGUUAACAAAUUUUAAAUGAGAUAAACUCAUGACAUAAAAAUGAUGAGAUAAACCCAUUUCUCAAUCAUUUUCCCAAUGUGUGAGAAAUGUUACACAGUUUUGUUUCAGAUCAGCCAUCAGUGGUUAUGGAGGCCAGCAAAGACCAACUGGGAUGCUUUUUGUUGCCAUGUUGUCAUGAUCUCUGCUUUGAUUUGUUGUUAUGAAUUCAGUCCUCUCUCUUUUUUAAUGUUGAAGAAUAAAGUACAGUGAAUAAUGGAUGUAUUUAAUAGUGACAGU